AGUGAACGCUGGCGGUAGGCCUAACACAUGCAAGUCGAACGGCAGCACAGUAAGAGCUUGCUCUUACGGGUGGCGAGUGGCGGACGGGUGAGGAAUACAUCGGAAUCUACUUUUUCGUGGGGGAUAACGUAGGGAAACUUACGCUAAUACCGCAUACGACCUACGGGUGAAAGCAGGGGAUCUUCGGACCUUGCGCGAUUGAAUGAGCCGAUGUCGGAUUAGCUAGUUGGCGGGGUAAAGGCCCACCAAGGCGACGAUCCGUAGCUGGUCUGGGAGGAUGAUCAGCCACACUGGAACUGAGACACGGUCCAGACUCCUACGGGAGGCAGCAGUGGGGAAUAUUGGACAAUGGGCGCAAGCCUGAUCCAGCCAUACCGCGUGGGUGAAGAAGGCCCUCGGGUUGUAAAGCCCUUUUGUUGGGAAAGAAAAGCAGCAGGUUAAUACCCCGCUGUUCUGGCGGUACCCAAAGAAUAAGCACCGGCUAACUUCGUG
rnacentral:rRNA from 1 species